UGCCAUAUCAGGUUAAAAGACCUGUUCUCAUACGACUACUGAAGUUAAGCAACGUUGAGUCUCCUUAAUACCUAGAUGGGUGACCACUUUGGAAUCCCAGGUGUUA